UUGCCUGUUUUUCAAAAACAUGUCUUUUUGGUUUUAUUAAAGGUUUGACCUGCUCAAUGAAAUUUUAAAUAGCCGCGGUAUAUUGACUGUGCUAAGGUAGCAUAAUAAUUAGUCUUUUAAUUGGGGUCUGGAAUGAAGGGUUUGACGAAAAAUUAACUUUAUUUAUUUUAUUUUUUUUGAAUUUUAUUUUUUAGUUAAAAAGCUAAAAUUUUUUAGAGGGACGAUAAGACCCUAUAGAUCUUUAAAAUUUAAAUUUAUUUUUAUUUUUGGGUGUUUUUUUGAAGUAUCUUUCUUUUUUUUUGUUGGGGUGAUAAUUAAAAUUUUAAACUUUAAUUUUUUUUUACAUUUAUUUUUGGUUUUUUUGAUCUUUGUUUUUUGAUUAAAAGAAUAAGAUACCUUAGGGAUAACAGCGUUAUAUAGUUGGAGAGUUCAAAUUGAUAAUUAUGUUUGCGACCUCGAUGUUGGAUUAAAAUUUAUUUGUGGGGUAGGUUUUACAAUUUUAGGUCUGUUCGACCUUUAAAAUUUUACAUGAUCUGAGUUCAAACCGGAA
rnacentral:rRNA from 1 species